AAUUGUGGCUGGCUGUUCAUGUGCAAGCUUUGCAGAUGUUCUUGUGAUUGGAGAAAGCAAAGGGAAGGCACUUACUUCUUGUAAGCGAAGGAAGAACGCUGAUACUUAUUAUAUGUCACAAAUAUCUCAAGGUUAUGUGUUUUGGGCAUUUAUGAUAAUUUUUGGCUCUGUUGUCUAAUUAUGGUGAUCUUUGGUUUUCUGAUUCAUGGGUGCACGUAAAAGUUUCUCAUAUGUUGG
rnacentral:misc_RNA from 1 species